CAAGAUGUAGCUUAUUCUAAAGCUUAUUAGUUACAUUAAUACGAAAAUUAAUAUAUUUUUCUUGA
rnacentral:tRNA from 1 species